rnacentral:rRNA from 1 species
GAUGAACGCUGGCGGCGUGCCUAGUACAUGCAAGUCGAGCGAGCAGACGAGGAGCUUGCUCCUCUGACGUUAGCGGCGGACGGGUGAGUAACACGUGGAUAACCUACCUAUAAGACUGGGAUAACUUCGGGAAACCGGAGCUAAUACCGGAUAAUAUAUUGAACCGCAUGGUUCAAUAGUGAAAGACGGUUUUGCUGUCACUUAUAGAUGGAUCCGCGCCGCAUUAGCUAGUUGGUAAGGUAACGGCUUACCAAGGCGACGAUGCGUAGCCGACCUGAGAGGGUGAUCGGCCACACUGGAACUGAGACACGGUCCAGACUCCUACGGGAGGCAGCAGUAGGGAAUCUUCCGCAAUGGGCGAAAGCCUGACGGAGCAACGCCGCGUGAGUGAUGAAGGUCUUCGGAUCGUAAAACUCUGUUAUUAGGGAAGAACAAAUGUGUAAGUAACUAUGCACGUCUUGACGGUACCUAAUCAGAAAGCCACGGCUAACUACGUG